CGCAGACACACACAUUCAUCCUUCUCACUGCUCACUUCCGUGGAGGUGAUUCAUGAUCGCCGGGUUAAUGGGACGGAUGGAUCCAUUAAGGAGAGACAGGUGUGACCUCACACGCCCUGUUUAGCUUCCUGGAGGUUCUAUACUCACUUCGUCAGAUCACACCGCGGCGGUUGGGGGAGUCCGGGGGAGUCGGGGGGGGAUCGGGGGAGUGUGGACGCAAGCAGAAGAUGGAACCAACACGUGUAGUCGAAUGUUUAGAGUGGACCGAGCCUGAUGUAAACACACACACACACACACACACACCUUUUAGCUAUUGACACAGGCUGAGAUAAGAUCUCUGUAGCUGCCGGGAUGGUACCUACACACACACACACACACACACUAAGCUGGCUAAGAGGCCUAUGCGUCCCAUGCCACAUUCAUUAAGGGGGAACAAUGGGUUGACGACACCUUAGGCAAAAAAUGAUAGCAGUUUAAAUCUUACCUGACUCACACACGCACACAUUCUGUCUACACGUCAUGCAAAGAGAUGUUUGGUUUAGUAGUUGUCUUCGGUCCUCUUCAUCGAGGUCUCUCUGUGUCUCGCUCUGUCAGACGCACACACACACACACACACAGUUGUGAGUUCAAAGCGCUGCCCCGGGCCGCUGACGGAGGGAGGAAGGGAGGAGCGAGUGAAUGAAAGAAUGAGUAAAUGAAUGAAAGGAAGGUAACAUACCUGGAGGGGUCAGAACAGGUGGGCUUUAAUGGAGCCUUUCCCUUUCAGAGGCUCCCUCACACACACACACACACGCACACACACACACGCACACACACUGGGCUUCUUUCUCCGUGACCUUUUGCCACACAACAUUUCUCCGGUAGGAUGAAUAAUUCACUCUUUUUUUCAUGGAUAAUAUUCAUUCCUCAUGAUAAUAAACAGCUCUUCUACUGCGCGUUUUGUUCACGAGGGUGGCGUUUGUGACCUUUGACCUCGGCACCGUUUGUUUCAGGCGAUGUCAGUCACCUACGGGGGGGAGGCGGCGCUUCCUCUCGCGUCGUCUCCGCCGAGGUCGACGCGUGGAUUAAACCUCCAAAUGGAUCAUUUCCAGCGUUUGUCUGAGCGUUUCUGGAGGGUCGGCGCGCAGUGUGGGAGAAACGCAGCCCUCAGUCCUCACCUUCCACUCUCGGGCCCUCUGAUCUCCCUCCAGGGGCGAGGAGGGAGGGAGGGAGGGGUGCAGGUGACUCUCUCUCCCCCAGCAGUCAGAGCUCUUCCCCGGGGCGGUGACAGCUCAGGGCCUCCCGGGUCACUGGGAAGCUCACCUCGGGCUGGACCGCAGGGAGCGCGUGUGUUUUCAGGUUACGGCUCUUUGCAGAACAGCGUGUCGUGGAAAAGACCAACGAUACAUUCAUGUUUGAGAUCAGUUUCAUUUACUCAAACCAAACAUUUUAUUGUGGAUAAAAGGUGUGUUUUGACAUUUCAUUCGCGUUCUGUUAACGCGGAAUCCAAAAUGUUUAUCGCGCUCACGUUAAACAGUGAGGACCUCUUUGUUUUCUCAGCGCUCCGGCUCGGAUGGAAACCUUUGCGUCAAAACCAUGAGAUCGUCUUCAGUCUUUGAAAUGGGCGGGAUGAGUGCACGAGGGUCACGCACACACACACACACACACACACAGACACACAAACCCCUUCAUUAUGCUUCUAAAGCUGCAACAAAGCAAAGAGGGCAAAAAGGCCCCUAUUUACCUGAACCACCUCUCCGUAAAGAACGACAGAUCAACACCACCCUUCUUUUUUUACUGCCCCUUUACCUCUUUAUACCCCCCCUCCCCCCCACCCUCCCCCCCUUUACCCCAGAUCGCCCCAUUGUCGGAGAGGACAAAGGCCAGGGGGGAGGCGGAGGGGGAGGACUCACCUGAUAAGAAGAUGAAUGAUCCCGUUCACUGUGGCAUGAGGAGGAGAAAAGAAGAGGGAUGAAGAGCUCCUCCUCCUCCUCCUCCUCCUCCUCCUCCUCCCGGAAAACAAAACACUAUUUUUUUUACCUUCACACAUCCGUCAUUUCACUUAAUUUAUUGCCACCUGUUGAGCCGUCUCAUUAGAAUAGCGCCUCCAUGCUGGGAUCAAACAUCAGUUCUCACGUGUGUUGAUCUUUUCUGCACGAAUCCAACGACCAGCAACAUCUGCGCCGCGUCCCAACAACGGGGCAACGGCUUGAACCAGGACAAUAAUCAGCCGAGACAUUCCAGGACAACAAAGCGUUUGUGUCCCUCGAGCUUCUUUCCCGAAGACAACAUUUGGUCUUGUUUGGUUUGGCAGCACGGCACAAGCGAUCUGAGGCCGCCGGACGAGAGGUGGCCCUCGGACGGACGGUUACCAAGACAACCGAAGGCUCAGCGCCAUCCGACUCAAAGGCCGCAGGCCCGGGAUGGAGACGGGACGCGAGCGGGAGAAGAUCCACUGGGUUGCUUCUGCUGGACGAGUCAAGUGUUGGUCAGCGCGGUGAUCUUCAGGUGGACAAAGUAUCCGCGGCCAGUUUCACUUGUGAUGAAGUUCAGACGCUAACAGCAGAAAGGUGAACACUGAGACUUGUGUUAAUGAGGGAGAAACGGAGGAGGGGGGUUAAAGGAAAAGUGGGGGGGGGUCACAUGGAGGGGAGGAAGGAGAGGGGGCG
ensembl:lncRNA